rnacentral:rRNA from 1 species
GACGAACGCUGGCGGCGUGCUUAACACAUGCAAGUCGAACGGUGAAGGGGAGCUUGCUCCCCGGAUCAGUGGCGAACGGGUGAGUAACACGUGGGCAACCUGCCCCAGACUUCGGGAUAACGCUUCGAAAGAGGUGCUAAUACCGGAUACGAACUCCUUGGGCAUCCUGGGCGUUGGAAAGUUUUUCGGUCUGGGCUGGGCCCCCGGCCUAUCAGCUAGUUGGUGAGGUAACGGCUCACCAAGGCGACGACGGGUAGCCGGGCUGAGAGGGCGACGGGCCACACUGGGACAGAGACACGGCCCAGCGUCCUACGGGAGGCAGCAGUGGGGAAUAUUGCGCAAUGGGCGAAAGCCUGACGCAGCAACGCCGCGUGAGGGAUGACGGCCUUCGGGUUGUAAGCCUCUUUCAUCAGGGAAGAAGCGAAAGUGACGGUACCUGCAGAAGAAGCACCGGCUAACUACGUGCCAGCAGCCGCCGUAACAC